rnacentral:rRNA from 1 species
CCUACGGGAGGCAGCAGUGAGGAAUAUUGGUCAAUGGACGAGAGUCUGAACCAGCCAAGUAGCGUGAAGGAUGACUGCCCUAUGGGUUGUAAACUUCUUUUAUAAAGGAAUAAAACGAGGCACGUGUGCCUUUUUGCAUGUACUUUAUGAAUAAGGAUCGGCUAACUCCGUGCCAGCAGCCUCGGUAAUACGGAGGAUCCUAGCGUUAUCCGGAUUUAUUGGGUUUAAAGGCAGCGUAGAUGGGUUGUUAAGUCAGUUGUGAAAGUUUGCGGCUCAACCGUAAAAUUGCAAUUGAUACUGGCAGUCUUGAGUACAGUUGAGGUAGGCGGAAUUCGUGGUGUAGCGGUGAAAGGCUUAGAUAUCACGAAGAACCCCGAUUGCGAAGGCAGCUUACUAAACUGUGACUGACAUUGAUGCUCGAAAGUGUGGGUAUCAAACAGGAUUAGAUACCCCUGUAGUC